AUCUACGGCCACGCCCCCCUGAACGUGCCCGAUCCCGUCUGAUCUUGGAAGCUAAGCAGGGUCGGGCCUGGUUAGUCCUUGGAUGGGAGACCACCUAGGAAGACCGGGUGCUGUAGGCA
rnacentral:rRNA from 1 species